UCGAAUAUCUUUGAGCAUCUUCUCAAGAUGAAAAUCAACUGACUAAAUUCAUCUAGAAUCUCAUAAUCCAUCAUGAAAUUCGGUUCAAGAUCACAAUCGCCUGACUAAAUCCAAUUUUUCUUAAGUUUAUUAAAAAAAAUACUUACCAAUAUAAUAACCACCAAGCUCACCUACUAGACCUAAAUUCACAUAAUCCACCAAACAUCUUAUACCAACUCGUCAAGAUCACAAUCACCUAACUAAAUCCAACCAAAAACUUAUAAUCCAUCGUGAAAUUUCAUUUAAGAUUGCAAUCACCUAACUAAAUCCAAAAUCUUUCAAAUACAAUUAAAGAUAUACUUAACAACCAACAUAAUAAUCACCAUGCUCAUCUAUCAUACCUAAAAUCUCAUAAUCCACCGAACAUUUUAGACUAUCUUCUCAAGAUUAAAUCACGUAACUAAAUCCACCUAAAAUCUCAUAAUUCAUCAUGAAAUACAGUUCAUAUCACAAUCAUCUAACUAAAUCCAAAUUGUCCAAGAAUUAAUCCACUAAACAUUUUCUACUAUCUCCUCAAGAUCACAAUGAACUAAAUAAAUGCAUCAAAAUCUCGUAAUCCACCAUGAAAUUUGGUCCAAGAUCACAAUAUUCUAACUAAAUCCAAGUUGCUUCAAGUUUAUUAAAGAUCCAUUUAUCCACCAAUAUAGUAACCACCAUGCUCAUUUAGUAGACAUAAAUUUUCAUAAUCCACCAAACAUCUUUGACUAUCUCGUCAAGAUCACAAUCACCUAACUAAAUCUCCACUUCAUCUCCAUUUAUUAAAACCAGAAUCAUCCCAUGGGCAUUAGUGACACCCUUGAGUUUUUAUAAAACAUCUAUGAGUAACAAAGAUUCUUCCCGAGUACUAUGAUUUACACGACUAGCAUGGCUAAGCAUUACUAUUAAACUUGGACAUAUGAACCACAUUUAUUUGCGACCACUACAUGGUUAGGAAGGAGGGGUAUUAAGAAUGUCAAAGGAGGGUGUCAAUAUCUUUUACAAGCUCGUAAAGACCCCAAUCACCCAACUAAAUCCAAGCAAAACCUCAUAAUCCAUCAUAAAAUUAGGUCAAAAUAUGACAAUCACCUAACUAAAUCCAUUUUUUCCAAAUUAAAUUAAAUAUUUGUUUAUCCAACAAUAUAAUAAUCCUUAUGCUUAUCUUGUAGAAAAAAAAUCUCAUAAUCCACCAAACUUCCUCGACUAUCUUCUGAAGACGGAAUCACCUAACUAAAUCCAACUAAAAUCUCAUAAAUCACCGAGAAAUUUGGCUCAAUGUCGCGAUCACCUAACUAAAUCCAAAUUGUUCAAAAUUAGUUAAUCCACCGAACAACUUUGACAUCUCCCAAAGAUCACAAUCUACUAACUAAAUCCAUUGAAAAUCUCGUAAUCCACCGUGAAAUUUGUUCAAGAUCACAAUUGCCUAACUACAUGCAGAUCGGUCCAUGUUUACUAAAGAUCCAUUUAUCCACCAAUAUAAUAACCACCGUGGCCCCUUACUAGACCUAAAUUAGCAUAUAUCAUCAAUCAUCUCUGACUAUCUCUUUAAGAUUACAGAUAUCUAACUAAAUCCAACAAAACCUCAAAAUCCCAUCAUGAAUUUGGCUGGAAAAAAACAAUCACCUAACUAAAUCAAAAUUGUUCCAAACUAAAUUGACGACCUGUUUAUCCACCAAUAUAAAAUCACCAUUCACAUCUUCUAUACCUAAAAUCUCGUAGUCAAGCAAACAUCUUUGACUAUAUUCUCAAGACACAAUCACCUAACUAAAUCCUCGUAAAAUCGCAUAAUCCAGCGUGAAGUUCGGUUUAGUAUCACGUCCACCUAAGUAAAUUCAUAUUGUCCAAGAUUAAUUAAUCCACCAAACAUCUUUAGAGUAUCUCCUUAAAAUCGCAAUCAACUAACUAAUCCAUCAAAAAUCUCAUAAUCCAUAAUAAAAUUUGGUUCAAGGCCAGAAUCGCCUAAUUAAAUCCAAAUAGUUUCAAAUUUAUUAAAGACUCAUUUAUUUACCAAUAUAAUAAUCAACAUGCUCAACUAUUAGACUAAAUUCACAUAAUCCAACGAAUAUAUUUUACUAACUCGUCGAAAUCAAAAACACCUAACUAAAACCAACCAAAACGCCCACCAUAAAAUUAGGUUAAAAGAUCACAAUCACCUGACUAAAUCCAAAUUGUUUCAAACUAAAUUAAAUAUAUGUUUAUCCACCAAUAUAAUAAUCAUCAUGCUCAUCUACUAGACCUAAAAUCUCAUAAUCCACCAAACAUCUCUGAUUAUCAUCUCAAGACACAAUCACCUAACUAAAUCCAACUAAAAUCUCAUAAAUCACAAAAAAAUAGUUCAAUAUCACAAUCACCUAACCAAAUCCAUAUUGUUCAAGAUCAAUUAAUCCACCAAACAUUUUUGACUAUCUCCUCAAGAUCACAAUCACCUAAAUCCAUUGAAAAAUCUCCUAGUCCAUGCAAUUUGUUUAAGAUCACAAUCGCCGAACUAAAUCCAAAUUGUUCCAUGUUUACUAAAGAAGGCGCUACUUUCUUGGAGAUUGAAGUUUCUUCUCUCUAAUGGCUUCUUUAUUUCCUAAGAAAAGCAUAUCUAGGAUCUUCUCACGCAUGCUGCUUUGAUGAGCACACUGCUGAGACCCCUAUGAAGCUCAACAUCCACUUUUGUGUCCACCUCCGCUCCUUGUAAAUCUGGAUGUGUAUCCGUUGUCUGGUGGCGGGUUGCUAUGUGUGUUGUCUUGAUCCCACAUCCCGUGUUCCCUUGCUGGUCGACACCGUAACCGCACGCUCAAGCACCACCAAUGGCGAGCAAGAGCUUGGACAAUUGGCGCAUACCUGGAUUUUAUACACGGGACGCGCCCGAGAACACGGCGCUACCUAUCGUCAAGGCCAAGGGCGCACCGUAGGAGAACGUGGGAUGCUUAAUCAAGUGCGUGACACAAAACCGCAAACAAGACAAGGACAUCAAGCCGGAUCAACGGGGAACAAAGAAUGCACGGGAACAUGGGAUGUUGGAUAAAGUCCAUCUGCUGCCACUAUCCUAGUCUCUCCACCUCUCUUGCCUUGUUUAUCAGCUAUUUUCAGUAGUGGCAUCAUCGCCUUGAGUCACUUGUGUGGCUCUCAUCUCUAUCCACCAAUAUAAUAAUCAGCAUGCUCAUCUACUAAACCUAGAUUCGCAUAAUCCACCGUCCAUCUUUUACUAGCUCGUCAAAAUCAUAAUCACCUAACUAAAUCCAACCAAAACCUUGUAAUCCACCGUAAAAUUAGGUUAAAAGAUCACAAUCACCGAACUAAAUCCAAAUUGUUCCAAACUAAACCAAAUAUAUGCUUAUCCAUCAAUAUAACAAUCAUCAUGCUCAUUUAUUAGACCUAAAAUCUCAUAGUCCACCAAACAUAUUUGAUUAUCUUCAUAGGACACAAUCACCAUUCUCAUCUACUAAACCUAAAAUCUCAUAAUCCAACAACCAUCAUUGGCUAUAUUCUCAAGACACAAUCACCUAACUAAAUCCACCUAAUCUCAUGAUCCCUCGUGAAAUUUGGUUCAGUGACACAACCACCUUAUUAAAUCCAAAUUGGUCCAGAUUAAUUCAUCCACCAAACAUCGUUGAUUAUCUUCUCAAGAUCACAAUGAAAUAACUAAAGCCAUCAAAGAUCUCAUAAACCACCAUAAAAUUUUAUUCAACAUCACAACCGCCUAACUAAAUCCAAUUUUUUCCAAGUUUAUUAGAAGAAUAUUUAUUUAUCAAUAUAAUAACCAGCAUGCUCACCAACUAAACAUAAAUUCACAUAAUUCACCAAACAUCUUUUACUAGCUCGUCAAGAUCACAUCCACCUAACUAGAUCUUAACUCUUUAAAACUAAAUUAAAGAUAUGUUUAUCCAUCAAUAUAAUAGUCACCAUGCCCAUUUACCAUACCUAGAAAUCUCGUAAUCCACCAAACAUGUUUUACUAUCUUCUCAAUUUUAAAUCACCUAACCAAAUCCACCUAAAAUCUCAUAAAUCACCGAAAAAUUUGGUUCAACAUCACAAUCCACUAGAGAUAUUAACCCAUGGGACAUCUUUGAAUAUCUUAUUAAGAUCACAAUCACCUAAGUAAAUCCAGCCAAAACCUCAUAAUCCAUCCUAAAUUUAGGUUAAAGAUCACAACACCUAACUAAAUCUAAAUUGAUCCGAACUAAAUUAAAUAUCUGAUUAUCUACCAAUAUAAUAAUCACCAUGCUCAUUUCCAUACCUAAAAUCUCAUAAUCCACCAACAUUUUGACUUUCUCAAGACACAACCGCCUAACUAAAUUCACCUAAAAUCAAAUAGAUCACCAAAAAAUUUGGUUGAAUAUCACAAUCACCGAACUAAAUCCAAAUUGUUCAAGAUUAAUUAAUCCANNAAACAUCUUUGACUAUUCCCUCAAGAUCUCAAUCAACUAAUAAGAUACGUUUAAAAUCUCCUAUUUCACCAUGAAAUUUGGUUAAAGAUCACAAUCGCCUAACUAAAUCCAAAUUAAGCCAAGUUUACUAAAACUCCAUCUAUCCAUCAAUAUAAUAAUGACCAUGCUCAUUUACUAGACAUAAAUUCUCACAUAAUCCACCGAACAUCUUUGACUAUCUCACCAAGAUCAUACUCAACUAAAUAAAUCCAACCCAAACAUCAAAAUACAUUGUGAAUUUGGUUAAAAGUUCACGAUCACCUAACUAAAUUUGAAUUGUUUCAAACUAAAUGGAAGGUAAGUUUAUCCACCAAUAUAAUAAUCACCACGCUCAUGUACUAGGCCUAAAAUCUUAAAAUCCACCGAACAUCUUUGACCAUCUUCUCAAGAUCAUAAUAACUUGUCUAAAUCCACAUAAAUCAUCAUGAAACUCUAUUCAAUAUCGCAAUAGCCUAACUAAAUUUCAAUUGUUCAAGAUUAAUUAAUCCAUCGAAUAUCUUUGAGCAUCUUCUCAAGAUGAAAAUCAACUGACUAAAUUCAUCUAGAAUCUCAUAAUCCAUCAUGAAAUUUAGUUCAAGAUCACAAUCGCCUAACUAAAUCCAAAUUUUCUUAAGCUUAUUAAAAAAUUACUUAUUCACCAAUAUAAUAACCACCAAGCUCACCUACUAGACCUAAAUUCACAUAAUCCACCAAACAUCUUAUACUAACUCGUCAAGAUUACAAUCACCUAACUAAAUCCAACCAAAACCUUAUAAUCCAUAGUGAAAUUUGAUUUAAGAUUGCAAUCACCUAACUAAAUCCAAAAUCUUUCAGAUACAAUUAAAGAUAUAUUUAACAACCAACAUAAUAAUCACCAUGCUCAUCUAUCAUACCUAAAAUCUCAUAAUCCACCGAACAUUUUAGACUAUCUUCUCAAGAUGAAAUCACGUAACUAAAUCCACCUAAAAUCUCAUAAUUCAUCAUGAAAUACAGUUCAUAUCACAAUCAUCUAACUAAAUCCAAAUUGUCCAAGAAUUAAUCCACUAAACAUUUUUUACUAUCUCCUCAAGAUCACAAUGAACUAAAUAAAUGCAUCAAAAUCUCGUAAUCCACCAUGAAAUUUGGUCCAAGAUCACAGUAUUCUAACUAAAUCCAAGUUGCUUCAAGUUUAUUAAAGAUCCAUUUAUCCACCAAUAUAGUAACCACCAUGCUCAUUUAGUAGAUAUAAAUUUUCAUAAUCCACCGAACAUCUUUGACUAUCUCGUCAGGAUCACAAUCACCUAACUAAAUCUCCACUUCAUCUCCAUUUAUUAAAACCAGAAUCAUCCCAUGGGCAUUAGUGACACCCUUGAGUUUUUAUAAAACAUCUAUGAGUAACAAAGAUUCUUCCCGAGUACUAUGAUUUACACGACUAGCAUGGCUACGCAUUACUAUUAAACUUGGACAUAUGAACCACAUUUAUUUGCGACCACUACAUGGUUAGGAAGGAGGGGUAUUAAGAAUGUCAAAGGAGGGUGUCAAUAUCUUUUACAAGCUCGUAAAGACCCCAAUCACCCAACUAAAUCCAAGCAAAACCUCAUAAUCCAUCAUAAAAUUAGGUCAAAAUAUGACAAUCACCUAACUAAAUCCAUUUUUUN
rnacentral:lncRNA from 1 species